AAGCGGCAAGAGCUCAAUUUUGAAAGCUGGCCUCCUUCGGAGUCCGCAUUGUAAUUUGCAGAGGAUGCUUUGGGUGCGGCCCCCGUCUAAGUGCCCUGGAACGGGCCGUCAGAGAGGGUGAGAAUCCCGUCUUGGGCGGGGUGUCCGUGCCCGUGUAAAGCUCCUUCGACGAGUCGAGUUGUUUGGGAAUGCAGCUCUAAAUGGGUGGUAAAUUUCAUCUAAAGCUAAAUACUGGCCGGAGACCGAUAGCGCACAAGUAGAGUGAUCGAAAGAUGAAAAGCACUUUGAAAAGAGAGUUAAACAGCACGUGAAAUUGUUGAAAGGGAAGCGCUUGCGACCAGACUCGCCCGCGGGGUUCAGCCGGCAUUCGUGCCGGUGUACUUCCCCGUGGGCGGGCCAGCGUCGGUUUGGGCGGCCGGUCAAAGGCCCCUGGAAUGUAGUGCCCUCCGGGGCACCUUAUAGCCAGGGGUGCAAUGCGGCCAGCCUGGACCGAGGAACG
rnacentral:rRNA from 1 species